rnacentral:rRNA from 1 species
GGACAACGUGCCCUCGGGUGGGGGAUAACCCCGGGAAACUGGGGCUAAUCCCCCAUAGGGGAUGGGUACUGGAAUGUCCCAUCUCCGAAAGCGCUUAGCGCCCGAGGAUGGGUCUGCGGCGGAUUAGGUUGUUGGUGGGGUAACGGCCCACCAAGCCGAAGAUCCGUACGGGCCAUGAGAGUGGGAGCCCGGAGAUGGACCCUGAGACACGGGUCCAGGCCCUACGGGGCGCAGCAGGCGCGAAACCUCCGCAAUGCGGGAAACCGCGACGGGGUCAGCCGGAGUGCUCGCGCAUCGCGCGGGCUGUCGGGGUGCCUAAAAAGCACCCCAUAGCAAGGGCCGGGCAAGGCCGGUGGCAGCCGCCGCGGUAAUACCGGCGGCCCGAGUGGCGGCCACUUUUAUUGGGCCUAAAGCGUCCGUAGCCGGGCUGGUAAGUCCUCCGGGAAAUCUGGUCGCUUAACGAUCAGACUGCCGGAGGAUACUGCCAGCCUAGGGACCGGGAGAGGCCGGGGGUAUUCCCGGGGUAGGGGUGAAAUCCUGUAAUCCCGGGAGGACCACCUGUGGCGAAGGCGCCCGGCUGGAACGGGUCCGACGGUGAGGGACGAAGGCCAGGGGAGCGAACCGGAUUAGAUACCCGGGUAGUCCUGGCUGUAAACGAUGCGGACUAGGUGUCACCGAAGCUACGAGCUUCGGUGGUGCCGGAGGGAAGCCGUUA